AUUGUACUCCAUAUUUCAGUGCUCAUCGCUUGCUCAGUAGUCAGUGUAGAUUCUGUCUUCAUCCAGCAGCUACAUCUGGCUACUGGGUCUCUGAUGGUAUUGCACUCCUCCUCUUCUGCUG
rnacentral:pre_miRNA from 17 species